CUAUGGGCUUACAAGAGAAGAUACGGCAACAGAACUCUGAGUACAAACUGAAAUGUCCAUGUAUGUAACUAAGCCUGGGUUUAGAUAUCUAAGAGUGUCAACAGUGCUUAUCUGGUGGCAUUAACCUCUGAGGACAAAGAAAGCGAGGCAGGUGCUGUUUUAUUCUUUGUACCCAAAAGAUACUGGCCAUGUUUCUUACUAUGUUUAAAGUUGCUCCGCUCUGUCCAUGUCAGUGCCCUUAACAAAACUGAAUAUUGAAGAUUUUUUUUUCUGAUGAACUAUUCAUCAAUUGAACUAAAGGGGAAGCCAUACAAAAUAAUCUGAUGAUUUUUCUUUUAUUUGUAAAGAAGUACAAUUUUAAAACUAACACUGAACUUUGCAAAUAUGAUGCUUAUUUCUGAGGACCUCAGAAAUUCUACUUAACCCCUAUUCAGACGUGUAAUUGAAUGUAGCUACAAAAAGGAAGCUUCCGCUGCAGAGGACCAGAAAGGGACAACAAUGCACUCUUCUGGAUAAUUUGAAGAGCAGAGAUUUGCAACAAUUCAAAAUUAUUCAAAGGUUUGACACUUACUGAAAUGGACUCCACGGAAACAAGCGCUAAUAUGAACACGCCAGGAAGGCCGGGCAACCAGGACAUGAGUGACACGAGAAACCGCCAUCCUGAGACCACUCACCGGGACCCGCAGUGGACUCUGGCUGGCAAGAAAUAAAUUCUGUUGUGUUAAACCUG